rfam:Oryza nivara chromosome 2, whole genome shotgun sequence.
AAAAAGGACAAACCUAGGUUUCCGUAUCCAACGUUUGACUGUCCGUCUUAUAUGAAAAUUUUUUAUAAUUAGUACUUUCAUUGUUGUUAGAUGAUAAAACAUGAUUAAUACUUUAUGCGUGACUUAUCUUUUUAAUUUUUUUCAAAUAAGAUGAACGGUCAAACGUUAGACACGGAAACCCAAGGUUUGUCUUUUU